UACGUAGGGGGCAAGCGUUGUCCGGAUUUAUUGGGCGUAAAGAGCGUGUAGGCGGUUUGGUAGGUCCGUUGUGAAAACUCGAGGCUCAACCUCGAGACGCCGAUGGAAACCAUCAGACUAGAGUCCGGAAGAGGAGAGUGGAAUUCCUGGUGUAGCGGUGAAAUUCGUAGAUAUCGGGAGGAACACCUGUGGCGAAGGCGGCCAUCUGGACGACAAUUGACGCUGGAGAACGCGAAACGUGGGUAGCAAACAGG
rnacentral:rRNA from 1 species